GUGAUGUGUGUGUAUGUGAUGGGUAUGUGGUGUAUGUGAUGCAUGUGUGUGGUGUGUGUCAUAUGUAACAUGUGUGGCAUAUGUGAUGCAUGUAUAUGUCAUGUGUGUGGUAUGUGUUGGGGGUUUGUGGUGUGUGACAUAUGUAAGGUAUGGAUGUGAUGUGUGUGUAUGUGAUGGGUGUGUAGUACAUGUGUGUGGUGAGGGGGUGGCUACUCACACUCAGAAGCUCUCCACUGUCCCCUUCCUAAGGAAGGCUAUAUACCAGUUGCCCAGGGCAACUCCCUGGGUAUCCUGCCAGCCCACACCCUCCCUCAGCUGGGGAGCAUAAGGCAGGAAGGGAAGGGGAGGUGGGAAGAACCUGGGGGACAAAGGACCUUUGUUGCCCUUCCUCACUCAGGCACAGUCUGGGGAAGACUUUGGCCGCAGCUCACACUAGAAGGCUGUUUACCAGACCUGCUGGAGCCUCUGAAGGGCAGCAGCCAGCUCACACCACAUGCCCUGGAUGGCCAGAAGGCACAGGAGACCACAGAGCAUACGAGUGGGGCAAGAGGAAACCAUCUAUCAACAAACAGGGACCAGAGCAAAUGAAGUUCCAACGUCUUGCUCACGCUCCUGCAUGGCCAGGAGUUUCAGCUGCUCUGAAAUGACUCCCAUGUCUCCUGAUAUAAUUUCUGGCUCACUAUAUAGCCUAAAUAUUGCAUCUUUUUCUUCCCAUUUUAUGUCACUGGAAUUAUCUAUACUCCACUCCCUUUAAAAACAGCACUCCUCUUCCUGGUGGACACCAAAGCACUUUGAGAAGAAGGAGGAAUGCAUGUAUUCCUAAACAAUGAACUUCAGAGAAAUUAACAGGCAAAGGACCCAGUACUACCAACAUAAAAAUGAAAAUGUAAAUUAAACCCAAAGAGAAAUGGCUUCUUGGCUUGUCUGCCUAAAAGGGAGUCAAUCUCACUUUGAAUCAGAUCACUCAUUUUUUUCUUCAAUAUUUCAAAAUGUAAAAAUUUGAGAUACAAAUUCAAAGAAGUGACUAUCUACAUUUUCCACAUCCCACUUAUAUCUUAGCCUAUUUUAAACUACUUCUAACUUUUUGCAUAUUUUUUUAAAAUUAAGAAUUAGGACAAUUAUGGAAGAAUAUGUACAUAGAUAAAAGUGAAAAGAUAUUCCUUCUCUUAGAAUCAGCCACCAUGAAUCCUUAGGAGGCCACUGAACAUGUCAGCAAAGAGCAGGAACCAGGCAGAAGCCAGCCUGGCUGCUUCUGGGUCCUUCCUGGUCCAGUCAUGUGUGUCCAGGCAGGACACAGUGGUGCCUCAGUUUCCUCACCUCUAAAUGAAGAUGAUGAUGAUGAUAGUACUUAACCCACAGGGGUACUGUCAUGAGCUAACUCAUGUAAAACACUAGAAUAUACUUGACAUAAAUGGUAAAUAAUAUUACUAUUAUUAUCAUUGUUACUAAAGGUAUAUUUCUGUGCAUAAACAGAGCUAAAAGGAAAGAAAACUAGUCAGAAAAACUAUUAUAAAUGUUAGACCAUUCUAUAGAUUCUAUUUUAUGAAAAUUAUUAUAUUUAAUUUUAGCAGAUUUGAAUUGAAGUUGAAAAUGAAAGGACUAAUUAAAGAGACUUCACUUUGAAAUAAAUGUCUCCUUACCACACAAGUGUUAUUUCCUAAAAGAUCUUUCUAAGUGAAAAAUGAAGAUUAAGGAAAAAGUAACAGAUCCAUUUUAAACAAAUCUUUAUGCAUUAGUUUUAGACGUGGGCUCUUAGCAAUUCUGCCAAGAUCCAAUUGUUAUUUUACGACAUUUAUAAAUGAUUUUCAGGCACAUCAUGUCUGCAAGAUGAUCUGUACCCAUAAUUUUUAUAAUUAUUAAUAACAAGUGUUUAUACUUAAAUGAAUUCAAUCCUCACUGCAAAGCCAUUUAAUACAUUUUCUCCUGCUCACUUUAUUUUUUCAAAAUCCUUUGGUUAGAUGAGACUUAUAUAGAGGUAUUUGUUGUUUGUUUUGUUUUACAUUUUUAUUUAUUUAUUUUCAAAAUUUGUUUAUUUAUUUAUUGAGACAGAGUCUUUCUCUGUCACCCAGGCUGGAGUGCAGAUCUUGACUCACUGCAACCUCUGCCUCCCAAGUUCAAGCAAUCCUCUCACCUCAGCCUCUUGACUAGCUGGGAUUACAGGCAUGUACCACCACGCCCAGCUAAUUUUUGUAAUUUCUGUAGAAAUGGGGUUUUACCAUAUUGCCCAAGCUGGUCUCAAACUCCUGGGCUCAAGCGAUCCACCCACCUCAGCCUCCCAAAGUGCUGUGACUACAGGCAUAAGCCACCGCACCCUGCCUUGUUUUUUAAUUUCCAAAGUGGUUCAAAGAUAUUCACUUCAGUUCUUUCAUAUUUGACAAUGUUUCCUUAUUAUCUUUAGAUUUUGAUGCCACCUUGGCUAUGAAUAACCAAGUGACUCUUUUAGUGACUCAUUUCGCCUUAAGACUUUUUUUUUUUUUUUUUUUGUACAGGCAACCAGUGUAGAAAAGUCUGACGCCAGCUGAAUUUUUUUCUUUGUAGUAGAAACUUUACUUUUCUGCCUGGAUUCAUGGGGGCGGGGAAAAAGCUAUUUAUAAAACACAAUAGCUUAAGUAGUAUGUGUCUCAGUGUUAAGAAUUCUGGAACAUUUUUUAAAAAUAUGGUAUGGUUACUUGUUCUUUGAGAAAAUUGUAAAUAUCAAACAUAUUUUUCCAUUUGUAAGGUUUUUUGUUUUGUUGAGAGACAUCACUUUACCUUAUGUUAAAUGGUGCACAAACAUAUUAGUUUCUCUCCUAUUUUAAUAUUUUUGCCUUUAUCAUUUAUAAUUCUCAGUGAUUAUAUUAGGUCUUUUCUUCAUUAAUUUGAUUUUUUGGCUUUUCCCUGUUCUUUGGUGUUUCUAAUUUAUUUAUUUUAAAAUUCCUUUUCAUUUUCUUAUUAAGAUACUAUUUACAUGCCAUAAAUUCACCUUCUUAAUGCUGCUCAGUUCUUCAUAUUGAUAGAUAGUCAUGUAACCAAGACCACAAUCAAUGUAUGGAACAAUGAUUCAUCUUCAAAAUAUUUGUUCACGCCCUUUUGUGGGUAGAUUGUCCCUCACCAACGGGUCCUGGAAACCACCAAUCUGUUUUUUGUCUGUAUCGUUUUGCAUUUACCAAAAUGUUACAUAAAUGCGAUCAUAUAUUAUGCAGACUUUGGCUUCUUUCAUUUAGUGUAAUACAUUUGAUAUCUAUCCAUGUUGUUGCUGGCACCAGUAGCUUGUUCUUUUUGUUGCUCAAUACUAUUAUGUUUUAUGGAUGUACCACGGUGUGUUUAUCCAUUCCCCUCUUGAGGAGCAUUUGAGUUACUUCCAGUUUGGGUUGAUUGCAAACAUUUGCAACAUAUAAGCUUCUAUAAACAUUUUGGCUGUAAGUUUUUGUGUGAACACAGUUUUCAUUUCACUUUAGUAAAUCUUUUGCCUGUUUUACAACUGGAUUUCUUGUUUUCUUAUUCAAUUUGAGUAUAAGCUCUUUACUGCAGAAAUGAUCUGCAAGUAUUUUCUCCCAGUCUGUAGUUAUCUUUUUAUAUUUUUAACCAGAUUUAUGUGUGAGUUCAGUAACAACUGUGCUUUUACUUAUGUCCUACCAUCUGAAUGUUCUAUUCAACUGCCUUUGAUCAUUUUAUCUUGAGCUAACCUUAAUUUUCAUUCUUACUAAACUGCUCUAUAGCACAAAAUGAUUGCUAAUAAUUUUCCUUCAUCCUGUAUUUUCUUCUUGGUUGGCCUUCUCUUAUUUUUUACACCAUGUUCCUCUGGCCCCUGCCCCCACAUACAUUGUACUUUUGCACCUGAAAGAGGUCAUCUUGGUCAUCAUACUGCAUUUUCCAUCUGGCUUAUGUUUGCCCAACUCUGAUUAGGCACGUUGUUUGCUCUGAUAAAGUCUGGGUUACUGUUUUCUGACUGAUCUAUAAUUUUCAGAUGAGUGAAUAUCUCAUAUUCCACUCCUUUUCUCUACCCCAAGAACACAUUAGAGGUUUAGAGAAUGCUAAAUGAAUGCUGCCAAUGCAUUAAACUAUAAACUCCAUUUUAUUCCCCACUAAAACAAACAAACAAAAAAAACUCCAUUGUAUUUCCAUAUUUGGUAUAACUAGGUGGAGGCCUUGGUUAAGUUCAUUUACUGAGUGUCUAAAAUUCCUUGCCAGAAGAGAAACUUCAUCCUCCAAUCAUACCCAGUUCUCUGAAAUUGGGUAGAAAGUGUGGGAGUACAUUGUAAAAGCAUACUUUUCAACUCUCCCCUGACCCCAGUCCUCCUUCUGGUCUCACCUUGUGUAUGGUGCCUGUACGAGUACUGGGACCCAGACACCCUUCUCUACACCUCUCCAGCAUCCAAGAAGUCACCAACAGGAGCUCCAUCAUUUCUCUCAAUUCUAUUCCCUUCCCCCGUUUCCAGGUACCUCUGUCUUAGAGCAGCCUCAUUGGUGCGGAUUGCUGGGAGAGCUCCCUAACUGGCCUUCCAACCUCCAGUGGUGCCUCCUUUCUGUUGAUUCUUCACCCUGGAGUGCAAAUAUGACACAGUCCCUCCCUUGUUUAGACUCCAUCAAAUGUUCUUGCCUUCACGUCGGGUUCAGUCUCCAUGAAUGAUCACACAAGACUCUCCGUGUGGCUCAAGUUUCACUGUGCUCAUGUCCAGGCCUCAUUACCUGCAUUUCUCAAAACCCACAGUGCAAUUCUAGACCUCAGUGCCUCAGCACAUGCCACUCUCUUUUCAAAGCAGCCUGGCGUGCCCCACCUCCCUCUAAUGCCUGCCUUUGCUGUCCCCUAACUCUUGAUUUCCUUCUCUCAAAGCCC
ensembl:lncRNA